CCUACGGGAGGCAGCAGUGGGGAAUAUUGCGCAAUGGGCGAAAGCCUGACGCAGCGACGCCGCGUGAGGGAUGAAGGUCUUCGGAUCGUAAACCUCUGUCAGCAGGGAAGAACGGUCACUGAGCUAAGCAGCAGUGAAUGGACGGUACCUGCAAAGGAAGCACCGGCUAACGCCGGGCCAGCAGCCGCGGUAAUACGGAGGGUGCGCGCGUGAAUCGGAAUGACUGGGCGGAAAGCGCUCGGAGGCGGUAUGUCACGUCAAGGGUGAAGUCCCCGCGCUCCACGUGGGAACUGCCUUUGAAACUGGCAAACUGGAGUGUGUGCGAGGUUAGUGGAAUUCCAGGUGUAGGCGU
rnacentral:rRNA from 1 species